CUUGUCCCUUGAACUAAAACAUAAGUUGCUGGAAAAGCUCAGCAGGUCUGGCAGCAUAUAUGGUGAAAAAAUCAGAGUUAAUGUUUUGGGUCUGUGUUCUGACAAAGGGUCAUCAGACCCAAAAUGUUAACUAAGAUU